rnacentral:rRNA from 1 species
UACGGGGGGGGCAAGCGUUGUUCGGAAUUACUGGGCGUAAAGGGCUCGUAGGCGGCCAACUAAGUCAGACGUGAAAUCCCUCGGCUUAACCGGGGAACUGCGUCUGAUACUGGAUGGCUUGAGUUUGGGAGAGGGAUGCGGAAUUCCAGGUGUAGCGGUGAAAUGCGCAGAUAUCAGGAGGAACACCGGUGGCGAAGGCGGAUCUCUGGGCCUUACCUGACGCUGAGGCGCGAAAGCUAGGGGAGCGAACAGG